GGAGAGGUGGCUGAGUGGACGAAGGCGCUCGCCUGGAGAGCGAGUAGACCGCGAAAGCGGUCUCGUGGGUUCGAAUCCCACCCUCUCCG
rnacentral:tRNA from 1 species